UUUAAAUUAUCAUUUACUUUCAGACUUCAGACUAGUGGACAAUGUACAUAUACUUAUAAUUUAAACAAUUGGAUAUUCGAAAAAGUAGACUGUCUUCACUAUAAUUGUUUAUUCAUUUAAUUAAAUGUUGAAACAAAUUUUAAGUUUAUUAAUUAAAUAUGUUUAUUUUGUAUUUUUAAAAUUUGGGUUUACUCUUUUUUUUUUUUAUUUAUUAUCAUCACAAAUAAGGUUUACAAUAACUGUAAAUUGAUUAUAACUCAGAAAACUGUUUUAAGUAAUAACAAUUAUCCAGUUUAAUAGUGCUCAAAUUGAGAGGGGCAUGAAUACAUGAGUGGACUGCAGUGUCUUCUUUAGUUCUUUUAUAGAUUUUAGCGUACCCCAUAAUUUAAUUAACCUAGGAAUGAUUACUAAAAAAUUUGGUAGCAAAAUAAACACAAGAAAAGUAUCAUAUAAAAUAAUGAUGUGAAUUUAUUUAAAAUUUCAUGAAAUGUAUUCAAAUCUGCAGAUUAUGGUCAACUUUUCAAUUUGUUCAAACUUUAUAAAAAUAUAUAUUUCUAUAAUAUUAUAUUUCCUAAAAUGUUGAUACAGUGUGCUAGGUAACUAUACCAUUACUUAAUGCGCUGCCAUUAUACAUUUUAAAAUAUCGCUUUACCACAUUACGUGUAUUUGACACCUCUCCAAAUUUUGAAAUGAAAAAUUAAUAUACCGUGCAAUUAGGUGAUAUAGUAAAGAAUUUGGGGCAGAUAUUUUUACUUGUAAUAAUUACUAUUUUGCAAAAUAGGUAAUGUAAAAUUCUAUGUGUAAACAUCACAUUGUGCUUUUGCUCCACUACUCUCCCCCCCCCCCUAUCAAAAGAAUAACAUCUAAAUAUCUUCUUUUUUUUUAAUAUAUAUAAUUGAAGAAAAU